rnacentral:rRNA from 1 species
UCCGUAGAUGGAUAAUUAAGUCAGAGGUGAAAUCCUGCAGCUCAACUGUAGAAUUGCCUUUGAUACUGGUUAUCUUGAGUCAUUAUGAAGUGGUUAGAAUGUGUAGUGUAGCGGUGAAAUGCAUAGAUAUUACACAGAAUACCGAUUGCGAAGGCAGAUCACUAAUAAUGUACUGACACUGAGGGACGAAAGCGUGGGGAGCGAACAGGAUUAGAUACCCUGGUAGUCC